UAGGGAAUCUUCCACAAUGGACGCAAGUCCGAUGGAGCAACGCCGCGUGAGUGAAGAAGGUUUUCGGAUCGUAAAGCUCUGUUGUUGGUGCAGAAGGAUAGAGGCUGUAACUGGUCUUUAUUUGACGGUAAUCAACCAGAAAGUCACGGCUAACUACGUGCCAGCCGCCGCGGUAAUACGUAGGUGGCAAGCGUUGUCCGGAUUGAUUGGGCGCAAAGCGAGCCCAGGCGGAAUGAUAAGUCUGAUGUGAAAGCCCACGGCUCAACCGUGCAACUGCAUCGGAAACUGUCAUUCUUGAGUGCAGAAGAGGAGAGUCGAAUUCCAUGUGUAGCGGUGGAAUGCGUAGAUAUAUGGAAGAACACCAGUGGCGAAGGCGGCUCUCUGGUCUGCAACUGACGCUGAGGCUCGAAAGGAUGGGUAGCGAACAGG
rnacentral:rRNA from 1 species